CCCAAACAAACAGACCACACGCUAUAUUUCAGUCCAGUAGCAAGGACACCACACCACAACAAACACAAACACACACACAACAGACAACAAACUUAGAGUCACGUAAUCGCUUCUCCUUCACCUGGAGAAGUCCCUCACAAAACUCCCCUGUUAGCUGCUCCUGUUCGCUAGCUCCUUCCAUGAAUAUUCUCUAUUAGUUGUCUAAACUUGCCACUAAACUUCUUUGAUGAAGUAUUCAGAAAGGAUCAUGAACACAGGUAGCUUUUCAUUUGAGCAAAUAUUUAUGAAAAUUUCUGAAGUGUUUGUUCAGGUAAAGUUCUCGAUCAAGGGGCAAUUUUUCAUUAACUAGUUUUGAGUCCUCUCCUUAGCCCUAUCUCUGUACUGGCACAGAGAAAGCUCCCACCCACUUCUGAGUACAUUGGCAAAAUGUCUGCCUGACUAUUGACACUUCCAUUUUGUGCAUGACAGAGUCCAUUACCCUCCCCUCCCCCUUAAAGCUAGUACUGCAGUAUCAUCCCUGGUAAUCAAAGAGAGGAAAUAUAUGAAAUAUGCACUGACUUUCAGUGUCCAGAGAGUGUUUUAGUAAAUCUUUCUUCCUGGAAUAUUAGAGUCCAUUCCCAUUAGCAGCAAUAAUAUAACUUUCAAACCUACAAAACCUGUUUAUCAAAGCAGCACAUGUUCAGCAAGGUAAGGCAGAAAUGUAAAGGGUGGAGUAAGUGGGAAAGUUGCCAUUCUCAUUGUCCUAAUUACAGUAUAUAAUAUUUUGGCAGAGUGACAACUAAGAGUCCUUUUAUUCCAGUAACCUCUAACAAUCAACAGGAUAUUACUUCAAGUAUUGACAUUAAGGCCCUGCUCUUGCAAGAUGCUGAGCACUCUGGCUCCAACCCAACAAAGCAUUGCUCUACAGGAGCAGAGCCGUAGUGUUCAGCAACUUGCAGGAUUGACCUCUUAUGGAGCAACACAUAACUAUGUUCUAGUGCUGUCUACCUAACUCCCAAGCUAACUCAUCUCACCACAAAGGCUCUCUGGAACCAGUAGACAUAAAACACUCUAUGUCGGAAACAUACAGCAUACAGCUCUGAGCAAAGGGGCCUAUUUUCGUCAUGGAUAAGAUAAACAAUGGCCUAAUUGGAGGAAACAUCUCUCCUGGAUGGAGCCCAUCUUGGAGCUGUCAGCUGCAGAAGUUACAAAUGGCUUUGUCGCUUUGUAACAUAAACAGUGUUUGAAAAUGUUGGUGCUGAGCUGUUGAUAUUAAAAUCACCUCAUUAAUCACCUUUGGAAGUAACAAAGUUAUCUAAGCUCCUAUGCUGGCUUCCUAUAGGGGAUAAUAAUAAUAACAAUAAUACUUUUUAAAAAGUUAUUUAUUAUGUAAGGCCUCAGUCAACCUUCAUACUGAGUAAAGUCUGAAAGCCACACAUAUGUCAUUAGAAAUAGUUUCUCAAAAUGUGGAAACUGAUCAGGUCAAGACCAGGUGUACAAUGUGUGGAAUGUAAAGGACACUUAAUACUGUAAUAUGUAAAGGAGUUAUGGGUGCCUUAUACAGGAAGGUUGGCACUACGAGAAAGAAAUGUUGGCAUUUCUCUUUAUUUAUUUUUGUAUUUUAUGUGUUUGGAGAACUGGGGCAGUAACAAGGAUUAGGAUGGAAUCUUGCAGCCUGGAAAGGAAGGAAAAAGGAAGAAUCAUUUUGCUGAAGGAUGCUUACUAGUUUGAUGAUUUUUGUGAAUUCUCACUAGAAAGGGAAAACCAUGGGUGGUGAAGUGAAUCCCCACUUUAGGGAAGCUAGCCUGCUGGCCCCGCCCCUUCUGCCUGAGGCCCCACCCCCCACACACUGGAGCCCUGAAACCUGCCCCCCAUAACAGGAGGUGCCCUGAGGCCCCCUCCUUCCCCCCCGUGACCAGAGGAGCCCUGCCUUGCCCACCCCAGCCUCCCUGGAUCAGCCCCACUAGCCCUAGGGCUGGAGACAGUGCUGUGCCAGGCCGCUCCCCCUGCGCCAGGCCAUGCUGGCCCCAGUGUAGGCUGAGCCAAGCUGCUCCUGCUCCCUCCCACGCCUGAGCAUCAGGCUGGGCCAGCCCCAGCACUGGGCUGAGUUGAGCCGUCCCCCCCGGAGUGCCAUGCCAGCCCCAGCACCGGCCCAGCCACUCCCCCCCCCACUCCCAGCCCAAAUGCUGGACCGAGCUGCUUCCUCCCGCCCAAGUGCUGGGCAGAGCCGGCGCUCCACUCCCCCCUGACCAAGCUGGCGACCCCAGUGCCCAGCUGAGCCACCUCACUUCCCCACCAGAUCCCUGCACCCGCAACUUGCUUGCAGCAUCCCUCCUCACUCCCCCGCCCCUGAAGAGAAGCAACGCAGCAAGUAGCGGGGACCUGUGGGGGAGUGGAGUGCAGGUAGGCAGGCGGCAGAAGCAGCAGGCAGUGGGUGGGGGAGACCUCGGGAAGGGGCAGGGCCACCAUGACCCAGGUGUCCCUCGGGGGCUUAGCCUUCCCUGGCCUAUUAUACCCUUCUCCUUGUAACAAUCUUUUACGUACUUGAAAACUGUUAUUGUGUCC